GACGAACGCUGGCGGCGUGCUUAACACAUGCAAGUCGAGCGGUAAGGCCCUUUCGGGGGUACACGAGCGGCGAACGGGUGAGUAACACGUGGGUGACCUGCCCUCAGCUCUGGGAUAAGCCUGGGAAACUGGGUCUAAUACUGGAUAUGACUCCACGGUGCAUGUCGUGGGGUGGAAAGCCUUGUGCGGCUGAGGAUGGGGCCCGCGGCCUAUCAGCUUGUUGGUGGGGGAUGGCCUACCAAGGCGACGACGGGUAGCCGGCCUGAGAGGGCGACCGGCCACACUGGGACUGAGACACGGCCCAGACUCCUACGGGAGGCAGCAGUGGGGAAUCUUGCGCAAUGGGCGAAAGCCUGACGCAGCGACGCCGCGUGAGGGAUGACGG
rnacentral:rRNA from 1 species